rnacentral:rRNA from 1 species
AUGGUCAGCAGCACCAACGAGGUGCGGAGGACGGUGCAAGAGAGGCCGGUUGUGGUGGUGGGGCGGCCGGAGUGCUGCCUGGCGGUCGUGGCCCGGCACCUGCUCCUGCGACAAGGCGUGAACCCGGCGGUGCUGGAGGUCAGCUACGACGCCGACCCGGCGACGCUCGUCUACGCGCUCCGGUCCAAGGACGACAACACCAAGUUGGUCACCGACGUCGCCUUCCCGGUGGUGUUCGUCGGGGGCAGGCUGUUGGGCGGGCUGGACCGACUCAUUACCAUGCACAUCGCCGAGGAGCUCGUGCCGCUCCUGAGGCAGGCAGGAGCCCUGUGGCUCUGA